rnacentral:misc_RNA from 1 species
UUAAGUUCAGCGGGUAGUCCUACCUGAUUUGAGGCCAGAUGUCAAAAGAUGUUGCGCCUUAUGAUGUGUAAACACAUGUAAAGCAUGACAGAGUCAUUGAUCGGCCAUCCCGAGAGAUGUCCUUAGUGAAAUAACUUAUAACACCAAGUCAAACCGACUGCAGACAGAGUCAAUCCGAAAUCAUUUUAAGGUGAGCCACU